AGGACUAACGCUGGCGGCGUGCCUAACACAUGCAAGUCGAACGAGGUAGCAAUACCUAGUGGCAGACGGGUGAGUAACGCGUGGUCAACCUACCUCUUAGUGGGGGAUAACUAGCCGAAAGGUUAGCUAAUACCGCAUACGAUCGUCGCGAGGCAUCUCGUGACGAUGAAAGGAGCAAUUCGCUAAGAGAGGGGACUGCGUCCCAUUAGUUAGUUGGUGGGGUAAUGGCCCACCAAGACUCCGAUGGGUAGCUGGCUUGAGAGAGCGACCAGCCACACUGGAACUGAGACACGGUCCAGACUCCUACGGGAGGCAGCAGUGAGGAAUUUUCCGCAAUGGGCGCAAGCCUGACGGAGCGACGCCGCGUGUGGGAAGAAGGCCUUCGGGUCGUAAACCACUGUCGAAGGGGACGAUAUUGACGGUACCCUUGGAGGAGCCCGGCUAACUACGCGCCAGCAGCCGC
rnacentral:rRNA from 1 species